AUGCAUGCCACCACACCUGGCCAUCCUCCUGCCUCAGCCUUCCAAAGCACUGAGAUUACAGGCAUGAACCACCAUACACAUGGCUUGUUACUGGUCUUUUUCGAGAAUAAUGAUAUAAGAAAACUAGCUAAGAUACAGUUAUAAGAGGACAAUUGUGAGCACUCCCUUUAUACACGAAGACUUCCUUACUCCUACCAGGUGGGUACUGUGAGCAGCAUCUCCACUUUACAGAUAGAAAAUGGGAGAAACUAAUUACCUUCUCAUGUAAACACACACAGUUUUGUUGUUGCCAAGUAGUCUUCAAAAUUAAUUGUGUAAGAUUACCUCUUCCCCAAGUAUGCAUAAGUAUGCCAGUUUCCCCAUACUUUUGGCAAUACUUUUAUAUUUUAACCACUGAAUAAACCAGUAUUCAUCAAGUUCUAUUAGAUAUUAACCUUCUCAACCAGACUUAAACAAACCAACAGAGUUGCUCAGAAGUAGUGAAAUUGACUUACUAAUGAUUUACCUAAAGGUUUCUACUGACCACUCAGUAAUGAUGUUAAUAGCUAGUGACAUCUUCAGUAGCAAGUCACCCAGCUAGAUGGAGAAGGAUGAGGGACAAAAGGUGGAGUGACACUCCACUAACACACUCAUACACAAGAGACCGGGACUACUUUAUGUGCUCCCAUUGCAGUAUAUGACUUUCUCCCAUGGCACUUAUGGCUGGUUUAACAUUUUUGCUUGUGUGUAUGAUCCCUUGAUUUGUGAGACUUAGAAUCUAAAUAUCCAUCUUUUGCAGUGGAUCAUGAGCUCCAUGAGGGCAGAACAUUUUGAUUUUGUUGGUCAUCUUAUUCCAGCACCUGUCCCAGGGGCUUUCACGGGACUAGACAGAUGAAUGAGAAUUUCAACUUUAUUCUAUGUAUCCAUGAAGGCUCUUUUGGUUGUAGGUGCAGAAGAAGUCAUCUCCAUAAUAAACAGUUACAUGCCACAUAGUUUGGGAAAAGGCUGAGGUCUGAGCACAUUAGAACCCUCAAGUUUAACUCUCCUUGGACAAACACUAUGGCUUUGGUGACAAGUGGGUUUGUCAGCACUCCUGUAACUAGCUCUCUAAGUUGACAACUAUAUUUAACAGUGUUUAAUACUUUGAAGUAUGAUAACCCUUUGCUAUGACUAGAUAUUCUCAUGAGUUACUAUGACUAAAAAAUGCAUUACUGGCCGGUGCAGUGGCUUACACCUGUAAUGCCAGCACUUUGGGAGGCAGAGGCUGGUGGAUUGCUUGAGUCCAGGAGUUCAAGAUCAGCUGGGACAACAUGGUGAAACCCCACUUCUACAAAACAAAUUAGCCGGGUGUGGUGGCAUGCACCUGCGGUCCCAGCUACUCAGGAGACUGGCUGACCCACCUCAGCCAGGUGGGUCAAGGCUGCAGUGAGCUGUGAUCACACCCUGA
rnacentral:lncRNA from 1 species